rnacentral:lncRNA from 1 species
UACUCCACUACAACUUCAGGGAGAUAAGACUUAUAGCUUCAACUUGAUCUGCUGCAACUUAAAAAUGAAUUUGAUGCGAUCUGCUCUACUGUGAUUUCAGCGAGAUAAGAUCCGUGAUUUUAAUCCGCUCCACUGCAACUUCAGGGAGAUAGGAUUAUUGGCCUUAAUCUACUACACUGCAACUUCAGGGAGGUAAGAUUCUCAAUCUUCAACUAUUCCACUACUGACCAGGGAGAUAGGAUUCACAAUCUUCAACCUAUUCCACUGCUGACCAGGGAGAUAAGGCUGGGGACUUCGAUCUGCUCCACUACUACUUAGAGAGAUAAAAUCUGUAAUUUUUAACCUACUCCACUGCUGACCGGGGAGAUAGGAUUCACAAUCUUCAACCUAUUCCACUGCUGACCAGGGAGAUAGGGCUCGGGUCAUUAAUCUGUUUCGCUGUCGGUGCAGGAAGGCAAGAUCUGCUAUUUUUUUAACCUGCUCCGCUGCAACCCAGGGAGGCAAGGCUGGUGUCUUCGAUUUGCUUCGCUGUCGGUGCAGGAAGGCAAGAUCUGCUAGUUUUAACCUGCUCUGCUGCAACCUAGGGAGGCAAGGAUGGUGUCUUCGAUCUGCUUCGCUGUCAGUGCAGGAAAGCAAGAUCUACUAUUUUUAACCUGCUCCGUUGUAACCCAGGGAGGCAAGGCUGGUGUCUUCGAUCUGCUUCUCUCUCGGUACAGGAAGUCAAGAUCUGUUAUCUUCAACUUGCUCCCCUGCAACCCAGGGAGGCAAGGCUGGUAUCUUCGAUCUACUUCACUAUCGGUACAGGAAGGCAAGAUCUGCUAUCUUCAACCUGCUCCACUACAACCCAGAGAGGCAAGGCUGGUAUCUUCGAUCUGUUUCGCUGUCGAUGCAGGAAGGCAAGAUCUGCUAUCUUCAACCUGCUCCACUACGACCCAGGGAGGCAAAGCUGAUAUAUUCGGUUUGCUUCGCUAUCGAUGCAGUAAGGCAAAAUCUACUGUCUUCAACCUGCUCCACUACAACCCAAUGAGGCAAGGCUGGUAUCUUCGAUCUGCUUCGCUGUCGAUGCAGGAAGGCAAGAUCUGCUAUCUUCAACCUGCUCCACUAUGACCCAGGGAGGCAAGGCUGGUAUCUUUGAUCUGUUUCGCUGUCGAUGCAGGAAGGCAAGAUCUGCUAUCUUCAACCUGCUCCACUACGACCCAGGGAGACAAGGCUUUGUGAUUUAACCGAUCUGUUCUCUGAGGAACAUGACCUGUAUAAUGAACUUACAUAUGCCUAAGAUUAGGAUGGCAUGAUCGAAAUGCAUCAAAUGCUCCUAACUAGACAUGUGUGAAUGGUGCUUGCAUGAAUGUAGAAUGUUAUUUUUGAGAAUGAUCCCUUUUUCACUUAAGUUAUCAUUGCUCGAAGUUUAUUAAGGCUUUAUAACUGACGUGCUACAACGCCUUCUUGUUCGCUGGUGUCUCUACUUAGUCAGAUUUCCCCCAUUGUAAACCUCAAAGUUCAAUCCACUGGGAUGUAAAAUUUGUACCAUCAUUCUCCCACUGCAACCCGAGGGUAGAAAUAUAUGGCUUUUUCUCAAUCCACUCCUAUCACAAUUCAAGGAUACAGAAUGCGAAAUUCUUUGGUCCUUUACACCAU